rnacentral:rRNA from 1 species
CGGACGGGUGAGUAAUGUCUGGGAAACUGCCUGAUGGAGGGGGAUAACUACUGGAAACGGUAGCUAAUACCGCAUAACGUCGCAAGACCAAANAGGGGGACCUUCGGGCCUCUUGCCAUCGGAUGUGCCCAGAUGGGAUUAGCUAGUAGGUGGGGUAACGGCUCACCUAGGCGACGAUCCCUAGCUGGUCUGAGAGGAUGACCAGCCACACUGGAACUGAGACACGGUCCAGACUCCUACGGGAGGCAGCAUG